rnacentral:rRNA from 1 species
GCCCUUAACACAUGCAAGUCGAACGGUAACAGGAAGAAGCUUGCUGCUUUGCUGACGAGUGGCGGACGGGUGAGUAAUGUCUGGGAAACUGCCUGAUGGAGGGGGAUAACUACUGGAAACGGUAGCUAAUACCGCAUAACGUCGCAAGACCAAAGAGGGGGACCUUCGGGCCUCUUGCCAUCGGAUGUGCCCAGAUGGGAUUAGCUUGUUGGUGGGGUAACGGCUCACCUAGGCGACGAUCCCUAGCUGGUCUGAGAGGAUGACCAGCCACACUGGAACUGAGACACG